UGAUCUGUAGUGAGACCAAUUGAGAAGUUAGAGUUUUUAGUUGUACCCUAUACUUUUAUGUCUUGUGCCAGUUUGAAAGUUGUUGGGCGAGAGGAUUCACAGACAUCUUCAUGAUACUUAAAGGGAUAGGGUUUUGCUGAAAAGACCCAAGGCAAGACAGGCUUUUCCAGCAGUGUCUGCCGGGCCCAGAUACGUCCUAUAACCCUGAACAGAUUCUAUCAUUUUUAACUCUUGUUCUGUUUUACUUUGGGGGGCUGGUUUUUAAGUCAGGAGUGGAAACCAGCCUUCUGACUGACUUACACGUUAAGGACAGGUUUAUCGCAUUAACAGGGAAUCUAGGAUGGGCGGUAUCUGGGCUCUGCUGCCCUUCUCCCUUCCUGCUUGUGUUGGCUUCAUCCUCAGGCUGGAGGUAGGGCAGCUGCAGCUGUUCCAAUGUCCCUGCAGACAUAGCCAUGUUCUGAGGCUAUAGGGGAUUGUCCCUUCCUGUGUGUCGUGUGUUGUUCCCUCCCCCCAUUUCUAUACCAGUCGCAGUGAAGGGGAGGGAUUCACUUACGCUGGUCAGAAGCCGACUCUGGGUUGGGGUGCGGUUGCCUACCUUUUGAGUCAGCUCAUGGGGGAGAAAUACGGAGCAAAAUGCAAGUUCUCAUUGGAAGGAGAGGGAGUGUUUGCUGGGCACCCAGCAAGGUCUGCUUUAGUUACCCUGUGUCUACACAUACUCUUUGUCUCAUACACAUACUUUCUUCUUUAACUUUUCCCAACUUAUUGAAAAAUUUUGAAGAUACAGAAAAACUGAAAAAAAUAGUACAAUAAACCCUUAGCUCAGACUUUUAAAGUUUCAGCAUUUUGUUAUGUCUGUCUGCUCUCUCUCUCCAUCUCUCUGUAUGAACACAAAAACACACAGGUUUGGUUUUUGUUUUGUUUGCUAAACCAUUUGAAAAUUAGUUGCAAACAUCCAGACCCUUUACCCCUCAUUAUUUUAGCACGUCGUCUUCCUUUUUUGGCUGCAUUGGGUCUUCGUUGCUGGGCGUGGGCUUCUCAUUGCGGUGGCUUCUCUUGUUGUGGAGCACGGGCUCUAGGCAUGUGGGCUUCAGUAGUUGCGGCACAUGGGCCCAAGAGCACGCGGGCUUCAGUAGUUGUGGUGCAUGGGCUCAGUAGUUUUGGAGCAUGGGCUGUAGUGUUUAGCACAUCUAAACAGAGUCAUUCUCCUUUAUACCACAGGACCACUAACACAUAUCCAAGAACCUUAACACUGACUAAAAUAGAACCAUCUAAUAGAUGGUCUAUAUUCAGACUUUGCCAGUUGCGUCCAGAUGCCCUUUACAGCUGUUGUUUGUUUUUAAUCUAGGAAACAGUCAAGCCUCAUGCAUUGUAUUUGGUUGACAUAACUCUUUAAUAUCCUUUAAUCUAAACUUCCCCAACUUUAGAGAAGAGAUAGGAUAAUGAACUUUCACUUACUCAUCACUCAUCUUCAAUAAGCAGAGACUUUUCUCCUCCGUUGUCUUUUAUAAGCAUUUAUGUUUUUAACUUUGUUGGUUUGAAAUGGUAUCAAGUUAAUUCAUUGCAAUUAAGUCCAUAGGUUCCCCAUCUCUUUUUUUUUAAACCAUAUAAAUGUUUGCAUGUGUAUAUGAAGAAAUCAGAUUAUAUAUUCUGUAGAUUUCCUGAACUUUGGACUUUUCUGAUUGUCUCCCAGUUGUUUAACGUGUUUCUCUGUCCCCUGUAUUUCCUGUAAGUUGGUAGUAGGAUCUGAGGGCUUUAUUAGACUUGAUAAAAUUGUAAAAAAAAAUUAAAAUUAAA